ACUUAGAGGCGGCAAAAUGGGUUUUUCAGGAGUUGGGUGGCACAUAGCCAUGAUCCUAGAGGUGUAAGAGCCUAGCGUGGCAGCUGAAGCCUCUUUGGCUCCUUCGCUACCGUGAAACUGCCAGUUGAUGAUGCUCCCCAUAUUUCUCUUGUCUAGCGUUUGAAUUUACUUCUUUUUUAGAUUUUUGCUUUGGUGAUUAUUUCUCAUCGCUACGAGUGGGUUUAUAUAGUGCAAGUUUCGACACUUUCAGACAAAACUCCUAUAAACUUGAUUUUCACGUGCUGGGUAUCCAAAAAAUCUAGAGAGACAAAUUGUAAAUAAUUAAUCUAUAUCUCGAGACUCGAGAGUCUCCCACGCGUGGGAAACUCCGAUCAAGGUGAUUACAAAUAUUCUUUUUCUCUAAACUUGGGAAUUGAGAUUAAUUAAAUUGGCCGGUAUCAUAGAAUAGUAAUUGACUUAUCUCGAGUCUCUUUAUUUUUUGGGUCAAAUCCUUAAUAAUCUUUAGUCUCAUAGAAUAGUAAUUGACUUAUUUUGACUCUUUUUAUUUAUUUGCUCAAACCCUUACCUUUCUAUGCGUUGGAACGUCGGUUUCUUUCGACCAAGGUGAUUAGUAUAUGUAGAAUAAAUUUACUCGGGUUUCAAGUCGUUCCCGCUCCUAAAGUCCUAAGAUAAUAAAGAGUGAUGAACAUGAAUUUGUAAAGUAGAGUAUAAUUCUUAGCGGUUUUCAUGCAUGUUUCACCAAGUUUAGCAUAGUAUCAUAUGAGACUUCGUAUGUACUAACGAGAGAUCUCUUGACUAAAGUUGAUGAAAAAAUAUUAGGAGGGUUCCAAGAUUAUAUCGGAUAUUUGGAUACAACGAAAGAGCUAAGAAAGUGAAAUAAAUAGUGUGAGUUUUAUAGUCUUGCCGAAAAAUAGACAAAAGGUAGUCCAAAUAUUCUCAUAUUGAUAACCAAAUGUCUAAUUAAGCCUCUACGUAAUUAAGAAGACUUUGGAUAUCCAAAAUACCGUAUACAGUAGAGAGGCAUAACCAAAAGUGAAGGAGUUAAACAUUUUUUUUAUAGAGUAAAAAUGCAAAAUUUAGUGAGUGUUUAAAAUUAAGGAAAUUUAUAUUUUUUAAGGGCUAAAAAUGCAAAAUUUAGGAGGUUUAACAAUUUAAUUUUAAUAGGGUUUAGAUACAAAAUUUAAUAAGGUCAAAAUGAAAAUUUAAGAUUUAAGAAAGUCAAGAUACAAAAUUUAGGGAAAUCAUUUGUUAUUUCUAAUUAAGAAUACUACUUUUGCAAAAAUUAGUGAGGUCAGAACCUAAGAAUAAUAAUGAAAACAGGUCUCUAGAACCAUUAGCUUUGAUUUCACAGCUUGCAAAGCUGACCUCCCUCCCUUAUACACACCUCCUUAUACAUGCCUCCGCCCCUCACUGUAUGCUGCACCCAAAGGUUCCAAACAAAAUAUAUUGUAUUAAAAAAAAAAGAAUUAAGGAUAUGAUCAAGGAUCAAUAUAACAAUAUCUCAUACAUGAUGUAGUCAAUCCUAUAUUCUGUUUAUUUAAAGUUUGAUAAUUUAAUUAGAAUACAUCCUAUAAAGUUUAUAUGUUUAUAUUUUCAGCUCUCUACUAUAAUAAGCAUCAUAUUGAACUUAUUAUAUUUUCUAUGUCACCUAGUCUCCUCCUAGUACAUUUUUUUUUUGUUUUGUUAAAGAGGCUCCUACCAACCACUUAUCUUCGUUGCCAACGAAUAUCCACAUAUUAUUCUUUUUUUUUUUUUUCUGUAAAACUCCACAUAUUAUUCUAAGAAUAUGAUAUUUCACGUGGGAUACUGAAAAUGAGUUGGGAGGACCAAAUGGAAUAGUGCAUCUCGAAUCUCGUGCAUGCAUCUACGUACGUAUUCUCGUGAGUUUGCCCUGAUUAAAGGUGAUUACAAAUAUCAAAGUAAUCUUUUGUCAAUCUAAAAUAGUUUGGUUGUCUUAAACUAACUAAACGAGCGAUUAAGGAUAAGAAGAACCAUUGAUAGGAGAUCAUCAACACUCUAACAAAUUUGAGAAGAGAAAGGAGGCAGCCAAAGGAAGAAAAAAAAUUAGGGUAUCCAUUAUUGCUCUGAUACCAUGUAAAGAAUAUUAUUAGUUAGCAAAAAAAAAAAAAAAAGAAUAUUAUUGAGAUGUAUUUCAAUGUAUUGUACAACUCAUAUUUAUACAAAGAGAGGAGACUCCUAAGUUAAGCUAAUAACAUAAUGUUCCUUAAAGAGAAUAAUCAAAUAUUGUGUCUUUAGUGAAUAUCAUAAUGAUAUCUCUAAUACUCAUGAGUGCCUAAAAGUGGUUGAAAAUUCAGAAACUUAAUGCGUCUCUGGAUCAGUGUAAGAAUUCUUCUUCUGUUAAAGCUUUGUUUGCUUCCUUGUUUUUCCCAAGAAAUUACCAACUGGUUUGGUAAUUACUAUGUUAAUCCAAACUCUUUUCAUUUUAUAUAAUAUUGACAAGCUUAGCAAAAAAAAAAGGAUAAAACUUGGUUCUUAUAAUUUACUAAUUGAAUUCCAGUUAUCAACCAUUUAGAGCAAGUGCAGCGGUUGGACGUCCCAGCAAAAGGCUUUUUUUUUUUCUUUUUUAGAUUAACAAAAAAAAAAGAAAUCACGGCCCGCGAAUUGUGAAGGAAGAAGACGCAGGACCGUCCCGUUUUAACUGACGUCUUUCAAUUUUUUUUUUUGAUUUUUUUUUGGGCAAAAAUUAAUGAGAGAAUCCCUUUAAUGACGCUAAUGCAGGUGCCCUUAAUUAAUAAAUCGAGUAAAGCUCUUAUUGGUAAUCAAAAAUAAAACUAAGGAAUGUACAUACGAGUAAAGCUCUUAUUGGUAAUCAAAAAUAAAACUAAGGAAUGCUCUAUAUGUACAUAUUAACAAUAUCAGAGAUUAUACGUCCCGGUUUAGUUGGUUUUGUUUUUGUCGUUUGAUUUAACCAUGUGUAGCUACAAUACAUAUACGUUGUAUGUACAGCUAGCAUUUUACAGAUAAGGAGAAAUAGAUAUUUCGAAACUCAUAUAUGACAAGUUUUUAUCAUCUUCGUCCUCGUAAAAUAAAACAUUGAAAACACAUGACCUAAUGAGCGGUUUGUAUAGUCGGAUUCUCCUUUCUUAUCUCUUUGGUCGAUAGCUCAUGAGAAUCCAAGAAGAUGCAGAAGUUCGUACGUUAGAUUCGUAUUUUUUUGGUUUCUAGUUUCUAACUAAAAAAAUACCCCCACAACUCCACCAACCUCUCUGUUCGUUCACAUGAGUCGUACGUGUAAAAUAUAAACUUUAAUCAUUCCUUCUUUUUGAACCCUAAAAAAAAAAGAGAUUCAUUAUUUCUUUACUUUUCUAAUGGAUCGAAUCAGUGUAAAUUAAGCGUGUAUGAUGGAUUAAGUUGAGAAACUAAACGCGUAUAUAUGGAUUCAUCAGGUUAGUAUUUAGCUGAACCAAACUAAUUAAAAUCAUUAUUCACUUUGGCUGUAAUUUCAUUAAUUCUGGUUCAAAUUUGUUUCAUUGGCUCCGAAUAAGGUUCCAAAUACCAAAUUCUAAACUUAAAUCAAACAUUCAGACCAAUACAUAAUGAAAUGAGAAUAAAUAGAAUUAUAUUUGUUUAAUAGAUGAGUAGAAUAAUUAGAAAAUACAUCCAAAGAAUCUCUCAAAAAUACAUGAUUGAUACGGAUCAGUUAUUAAUAACACCAUUUUAUUUAUCACAUACUCUUCAUAUCAGAUCAAAUUAAACCAUCCCAUAAUUUACAUCUUAGCCUUAGCGCUAGUUAGAUAUAUUCGGGAAAUCAGAAGUCUUUAAUUAGUUGACGCCAUUGACGUCUUUGAGUGAAUCAUGAAUUCAUCAUCAACUAUAUAUAAUGGAAUGACGUUUACAGAAGCUCUUCAAUCUUUCAAAUGCAUCCUCCAGUCUCGGAGUCUCCAUGUCGAUGGAGUACCUCAAAGGCUCAAACCAGUUCAUUUGACCAAAUGCAAUCCCUAAACCUAUCCAACACAAUGAUCAGGUGAUUACACAUUUGGAAAACAAUACAACUUUUGUCUUAUAGUAAUUAAAUGAGCGAGUAAGGAACCCUACGUGUACUUGGUUCUUGAACUAUUUAUUGGUAAUAAUUGCCCAUGUUUAAAUUUUACGUACUAUUGUUUAUUGAAACCCCCAUGCUUUUAUUGGGGUUUUUUUUUUAAUUAUUCGUAUUUUCUAACUAUGAAAAUAAUUACCCCACCAGCUAGCCGAUGUUGACGAUGAGUCUUAUAUAAAAAAAAAAUUAUAACUUGGUCAUUAUUUAUUGAAUCAAUGUCACUAUGUCACUUAAGCGUGUUACAAGGAUUAAUUAUAUAUUGUAUUUUAUCGGUUUUAAAUUUUAAAAUUUUCAUUCUCUUUCUUAGUUUAUAAUUUUUAUUCAAAAUGUGUUUUAAAAGUUUUUAAUCUAAUAUUAAAUUUUUAAAAGUUUUAUCUUGCUUCGGAAUAAAACAGACGUUUUAGGAUAGAAAUACACAUUUAGAAAUACAUAUUUAUAGGAGUGUCAGAUGUUUGUGCUCAAAUUGAAGGGCUUCCUUUGAUUUUUCUCAUAUUUUUUUUUAAAAAAUGGAUACAAAUGUUAGCUUUCAUUUGAAAGAUAAUUCAAAGAAAUCUAACGAUGCAUUUAAGAUUUAUACCUGAUUUCGUGAAAAAUAUAUUUUGGUAAACAAUUAAAACAGGGGGGAAUUUGAAGAAACAGUUGCAGAAAUUGGAAACAGAGAGGGUCAGACCAACCAGUCCACUAGUCCACUUGGAAACCGAUUGGUCUACCUUCCUACGGACGAGACAAAAAAUUCCAGAAGGUAUCGGAUCGAUCGUUCCAACACCUAGCAUGCAUGUUUUAGCCUAUAUAUAUAUUAUUUGACAAGUGAUCAGAAACAGUGAUGAUAGGUAAAGUGAAUUGAAUUAUUAACUAGUAAAACAAUGAUGUUUUCUUCCUUAGCAAGAUUCCUAUACAAAUCGUGAUCGAUCUCCUUAGGAGGAUCUUGAAUGGAUCUUAAAGAAUGGAUUUUGUAGCCGGAGAGCUCUAGUUACACAUUUGGACUAUUUUAUUUACAGACAUCUACAAAUAAGCGUAGAAAGGGAAACAAAAAUUAAUCUUUUUAAGAUAUAGACAUGUUUUUAGUCAUAUCAUAUGUUCUUUUGACACAUAUUGUAAUGUAAGCAUUGAGGAAUUGUUCAUCAUCAUGGAUCAAUCUAUCAUAAGAUGAGCAGAUUUCUUAGAAAUCUUCAUUAUCUUCACUAUACCUCUAAUUUCAACACUACUUUUCAAUUCCACUCCUCUUCCAUUUAAAUCAUCCAUGAAACCUGGAACAGAUGCUAAUAGCUUUGUUGUAACAAUCUCAGCCGUCAGACUCAUCUUAACCGUCUGUUUCGCUGGAAUAGUUUCACUUCUUUGAAUACUUUCCCCAGUUACCACGGAUUCACCGUGUCUAAAAAAAAGCCUAACAUAUCUCACUUUAAACGAUGCUGGAUUUGGGUUAUGUAAUGAGAUUUGGACUGAGACUGUAACGUUCCGGUUCGUGUUGACUUUACCGCGGACGAAUUCCAACCCUUGGAUGAAAGAUAUGGAAUCAACCGUGAGUUUUGGGUUGUGGAGAUGAAAAACCGUGAGGGAGAGGACGAUGAAAGUAACUGCUAUGAGCAUAGUUAGAGAUGCGAUGAAACCACAACAUAAGAUGAGUUGUUUAGGUGAUUACAAGUUUGGAAAUAAUACUUUUUUUUUUGUCAAACCAAAAUAGAAAUACAUCGGAAAUAUUGAAAAGAAAACAUUACACGCAUGGUUGGUGAUAAGUGCACCAAUUUUAUUUGAUACAAGUACGAGAGUGUGUUCAUGAUCUAUCUCAUCAGAUCAAUAAAAACACCCCGUUCAAAUAUUAUUAUAGCAUAACUUAAAAAGACUUAAGCAGCAAAUAGAGACAAGUAUACGAGAGUGUGUUCAUUAUCUAUCUCAGAUCUAUAAAACACACCCUUUUUUUAUUAUUGUCGACGACCCUUUACUCGACAUCAUCAUCAGAUUCGAGUGGAUCCUCCAAUUCCGGAGCCUUGGAGUUGCGAUGACAGAAGCGCUUCAAUCUUUUAAAUGCAUCCUUCAAUUCCGAAGUCUCCAUGUCUAUAGAAUGCCUCGCCCAGUUCUGCAGACCAAAAGCAAUCCCUAAACCAAUCCAACACACAACAUAUCUGUCAGAAUUGUCUCAAAUGCUAACGGUUAAACCUUGAUCAUAGGUAAUGAGUUAUUGGAUUAAAACCUGGUAAAAGGACGAGGUUUUCUUCACUCGCAAGCCUUUCACAGAAUUCUUCAUCAUCGUCGAUGUCCGAAAACAUUGACAAGUUCAGCUCCGUCUGCGAGAAGAAAAGAAACAUGUAUAUAAGAAUGUUUAAAGAAUGGUAAAAAAAGACGUAGUAGUAAUAUAUAAAUAGAAUACGUACCCAUAAGAAGGUGCAAGCUUCAGUUUUUUUGUAGCAGGUUAGGGCUGGUAUGCGUUUGAGCUUAUUAAAUGCAAUGUCCGAUUUCUCUCUCAGAAAAGUCUUCCUCCUUUCGAAGAAUUCCUUAGGAGUGUCUUUCAAGAUGGUGGGAACAGCUGCCUACAUGAUGACACUCACGAAUUCAUGCACCUUAAUAUGCAAAAAAAAAAAAAAAAAAAAAGCCUGGUUACAAUAUAACUUCCAGACUAGGGUAACCCUUACCUGGAUAACAGUUGGUGGUUUAGAAUCUAUCGCCAGAAAUUGCUUAAGAGCAGUUGUGAUCUGUCCAUAUAUAGCAAGAUAAUUAGGACAGUACAAAACAAGGACAUUUUAUACUAGAUGAAUAUGAUUCACGAUGUGGACGAGAAGAAAUUUUGAAUUUCAAGUACACCAUGCAAACUUAUUUACAUUGGUCAAUAUUUAUAUAGAACUAAUACAUAUAUUCAUAGAGAUUUAGUAUGUCAACGGCAUGUAGUCUCAUUUCUAGUUUGCACGUAAAAAGUUGUUUUUACCUUAUAAAUGUCGAUUAAUAUACCGAGGAUAGAAAUUAAUGGAAAUGAUGUUUAAAGAGCGAUCGGAAUUUUUACCUUGGUAGAUUUCAAGACACCAUCAAGAUCGUGCAGGGCGAUCCAGCCGGUUCGCCAUCCGGGUACACUCCAUCCCUUAGAUAAAGAACCGAGACUAAUCACAGGUACGAUCGACGAGAAUUUUCCCAUGGGAACAUGGGGAUUAUCCCCAAACACAGUCCAUCUGAAAACUUCGUCAGAAAUAACCAUUAUCUGUAGCUCCCGAGCCAGCACAGCCAGCUAAAGAAAGAUUCAAUAGUUACACACUGUCAAAAGAUUAGGCCAUAUAAGGUGCAUGCAUAUGCAUGUUGUAUAGCUAAUAAAAGUACCUCCAUAAGAUGAGCUUCAGAGUACGUGUUUCCAUUAGGAUUGUGUGGGUUGAUAAUGAGUAUCGCACUCGUGUUCUCGUCCACAAGGUCACGGACGCUGUCAAAGUCGAUCUCAUAGUCAUUGUCCCGGAGGAAUUCAUAUUGACGAACCUCAACAUUCUUGUAGAUUGCUUGGACCAUGUCCCAUGGAAAGCCUGGCUUCGGAAGCAAGAUGUUGGAGUUUGGUGUAGCCGUGAUAAAGACUGAAAGCGCGAUGGCUUGUUUGCAUCCAACGGUCAUAAACACGUCAUCUGCUGUCAGUUUGGUCGGAAGAUCUCGACUUAGAUACUCUGCCACGGCACUGAAAAUAACGGAAGCAAAAUAUAUAUAAUUCGUCAGAGAAAGUAUACCAAGAUAUAUAAUAGAGUUAAGGUGAAACUAGAAGUGAUCAUAUUGUAAAACAUAUUUUCUGUGGGACAGUUUCUCUUAGGACUUUUUGAACAAAAAAUGUCUAAAAUGAUCAACCCAUAAUUCGAUGUGUAUAUUACCUUUUAGCCGCGGGAAGGCCAAUACUUGGAGCAUAGGCGUUUCCAGUACCCAUAAGGACAGCUUUCACGACGGCCUUCUCAGCGGUAUGGCUAGUCUCGGGGGCUUCACCUAGAGGCGGCAAAAUGGGUUUUUCAGGAGUUGGGUUGCACUUAGCCAUGAUCCUAGAGGUGUAAGAGCCUAGCGUGGCAGCUGAAGCAUCUUUGGCAUCUUCGCUACCACUAAACUGCCAGUUGAUGCUCGCCAUAUUUCUCUUGUCUAGCGUUUGAAUUUUCUUCUU
rnacentral:lncRNA from 1 species